AUUGAACGCUGGCGGCAUGCUUUACACAUGCAAGUCGAACGGCAGCGCGGGCUUCGGCCUGGCGGCGAGUGGCGAACGGGUGAGUAAUGCAUCGGAACGUGCCCAGUAGUGGGGGAUAGCCCGGCGAAAGCCGGAUUAAUACCGCAUACGACCUGAGGGUGAAAGCGGGGGACCGAAAGGCCUCGCGCUAUUGGAGCGGCCGAUGUCGGAUUAGCUAGUUGGUGGGGUAAAGGCUUACCAAGGCGACGAUCCGUAGCUGGUCUGAGAGGACGACCAGCCACACUGGGACUGGGACACGGCCCAGACUCCUACGGGAGGCAGCAGUGGGGAAUGUUGGACAAUGGGGGCAAACCUGAUCCAGCCAUGCCGCGUGCGGGAAGAAGGCCUUCGGGUUGUAAACCGCUUUUGUUCGGGAAGAAAUUCUCUGGGCUAAUACCCCGGGGGGAUGACGGUACCGGAAGAAUAAGCACCGGCUAACUACGUG
rnacentral:rRNA from 1 species